CAAAACAUGUAAAACACGAAAUUCAAUAAUUCAUGUAACAGUUAUUUAUGGACUCAAACUAAUCCUAAACUUUAAGACAUUGGACUUCAAUGGUAAUCCUAAAUCUUAAGGAUUUGAACUCCUAAAGAUAUCUGGACAGAAUUUCUAGCAAUGCUACAAGUUUCAAAAUUGCCCUUGAGACCUAAAGUGAUGGACCAGCAACUAUUUAUUUAAAUAAACACAUAAAAUAAGACUCUAGAAGGACUAGAAAGUAUUUUAUACUAUCCAAAGUAAACCCCAUAUUUUUCCUGUAACUUAAUUCUGCAUAUCUCGAGUUUUUACUCUUAUUUUUUCAUUAAUCUUUUUGUUGUCUACUUUAAGGCUCUAGGGCUGAUACCUCUACAAUGAGAGGGCAGGCAGCCUCCUAGAGGGAUCAGGUUUGUUGCCUUAGGCAUCCACCCGUUGUGAGGAACGAGGCUAAGGAAGGCGUACCUUCCUAGCUUCCAUUGCCUUCUAGACCCCUUGUUGUAAUUGCUGCCACUAUUACAAUCACAGUUCCUGUUUUGCCAGAAUCCAGGUGUCGACUAGCCUGCAGUUGCUGCAAAUGUCAUUGUUAUUCUCUGAAAUUCAUUGGAAUCUGUCCAAACCACCACACAAAGAGUUUCUAGGAACAAGCUCGAAAGGAAAGAGAGGAGCUAGACAAAAUGCUGGAAGAGAAUAGGAGGAGGGUAGAAGAAGCACAGCGAAGAGAAGCUCUAGAGCAGCAGCGAAAAGAGGAGGAACGAUUUCGUGAAUUGGAGCUCAUUCAGAGGCAAAAAGAAGAGGUUGCUUGGAGAAAAAAACUGGAAGA
rnacentral:misc_RNA from 1 species